AUUGAACGCUGGCGGCAGGCCUAACACAUGCAAGUCGAGCGGAGCGGCGGACGGGUGAGUAAUGCCUAGGAAUCUGCCUGGUAGUGGGGGAUAACGUCCGGAAACGGGCGCUAUUACCGAAUACUAUAAGCUGCGCCUCGGUCGGAUUAGCUAGUUGGUGGGGGAAAGGCCUACCAAGGCGACGAUCCGUAGCUGGUCUGAGAGGAUGAUCAGUCACACGGGAACUGAGACACGGGCCAGACGCCUACGGGAGGCAGCAGUGGGGAAUAUUGGACAAUGGGCGAAAGCCUGAUCCAGCCAUGCCGCGUGUGUGAAGAAGGUCUUCGGAUUGUAAAGCACUUUAAGUUGGGAGGCGUUACCAACAGAAUAAGCACCGGCUAACUUCGUGCCAGCCGCCGCGGUAAUUC
rnacentral:rRNA from 1 species